rnacentral:lncRNA from 1 species
AAGCCAACAUUGAAAAGGGAGAAGUUGCCGAAGGUCAAACCACUGCCAAGGUGAGACUGCAGGCUGAAGAGAGCCCUGGCUGGAGAGCCCUCCUGAAUGGCAGUGGGGCUCUGAGAUCUGGAGAGCUGGAGAGAAAAUGGUAUUCAAGCUUGUAGUCUUUUCUUUAAUGGGCUCUGCCUUUUGAGUCAGAAUUAAGAAGCACCUUCCUACAAGGUUAUGGGAGCAUUCAUCUAUAUUUUCUUCUAGCAACAGAAAGAAAUUCUUCACAGGAAAUGACUUGAAUUUAAUUUGCCAUGGACUUCUUCAGCUGGAUACCAGAAAUCCAUUCGUUCUGUACCAAUCCUGCGCUGAGCACCUGAAAGUGCUGAGGCCCAAUAAUGAGGGCAGAACACUUGGCUUCAGAGAGUACACAGCAUCUGGCAGAGAAAGAAAUAUACCACAAAUGGGGCGUUUCGGAGGUUAAGGAAAAUUCCCUCUCCCCGCACACUGGGGGCACUGAAGAAAUGAAGAACACGAUGCAUCCACUCUGAAGCAGAGAUUCAGAAAAAAGCUAAAGGAGUUGACUUGCUUGAGUGUAUGCCCCUGGGAGGAAGGUGUGUAAGGUUAUGUAAGAUGGAACCAAUUUUAUCCCGUGUGAUGCUAGGAAAAGAAUGGAAAGCCACACCACAGAGGGGUCUAAAUUGAGCGCAUUGCGGUCAGUGUUCAGCCUGAGCUGAGAAAAGAAACCAGGCUCCCCAUGGGGAGGCAGGAACUUUCUCAGUGAUUUUUGAAGUCCAUGUAAAUAAAUAAAUAGCUAACAUUUAUUGAGCACUUGUUAUGUGAGCACUCUUCUAAGAGAUUUGUGUGCAUUGAUUUAUUUUCAUCACAGAACUUGACAGGUG